UAUCGAAAACUUUAUAUUUUUAUACGUAUUAUAAAUUACAUAAUCACUUUGCGUUCUCUCUAACCACUUUACUAUGCGGCAAAAUAAUAUCGCUUUUCGCUAUUGCGAGUUAAAUUGCUUUUAUGGAAACGCACUACUCGUAACCGCGGCGCAGGAAUGAUUAUCGUUACAUUACUAGGAACAUCCUGAACGUCGUAAUCCGCUUUUUUGAUGACCUCCACAUAAUCGCACACGAACAUUUUGGGAUAGAUUGCCGGGCGAGAUAUGACGACGUAUAAGUUACAUUGUCACGAGUUAUCGUGGCUUUGUGUCACGUAAUAAAUGUUGACAGAAAUGGUUAGAUGAAUACACGAUUGUAUGCAUGUAUGUUGAAGUUCGUUAAUUUUGUAACAAAAGCAAACUUAAUGCGGCUUAAUAUACAUUUAAAUGUAAGAUUUGAUAGAACACUCUGUGCUUUUAUCAGUAUUUUUUUAUUCAGAAGAUCCUCACAAUAUUUAAAUUACAGAAAAAUUCCUAGUCUUCUAAUAUAAUCGAGUUGUAUUACAAUGCCAUUUUACGAUGUUAAUAUAAAAUAAGUUUAAUUUGUACUAGCACGAUUUUGGAUACAAUUCCAUUUCAUAAACAUGAUUUGUAACUCUGCUUUUUUUAAGAAAACUUAAUACUGUUAUUUACUGUUACAGUUUGCCCAAUUAAUCUAAUUUGGAAAAUUUAAAAAUUUGAAAUAAAUUAUGUGUUGAAAAAAUUAUAGCAAGUAUAAAUUCAACUUUAUUGUUUAAAAAAACAAAUUUUAUUUAAACUUUUUUUGAGUAUAUAAAGAAACUGAAUAAUAUAAGAAUAAAAUAUCGGAAUGUCUGUAUCUGUAAAUUUCAAUCUGUAGAUAUUACAUCUUAAAAUUUAGUGUAACAGCUAUAUCAAUGACAGUUUCUUGUCGAUACAUCUUGAUAAAAUUAGUAGAGAAUAAUGAGAUAAUCUUGUAAAAAUAGAAAGGUUUGUGUAUUGAAUAUUUGUUUGAAAUACACUGAAUGAAACUAU